rnacentral:lncRNA from 1 species
AGUGCUUGCUGCAGCUGGGCUGGGCAGAGCCUGCUUGGGGCGAGGGGUCUCUUGUCCCCCUGGGCUCCUUCCUUGGGGAUGGGUGAGAGCUGAGAGGUGACACCUCCAGCUGGCCUAAUUUGGGAUAAAACUGCUGAUUUCAGAAGAGCUGUCCCACCCCCAUGAGCUGAAGGUGGGCUUCUUUGUGGUUGUGUGGAACAUGGUGCUGCUGAGUGUGUGAAGCAGGGGUGGUGGCCAUUCUUGUAUGAGUGGAGGGUGCUUCUUUUCCUUGUUAGGUUGUCCUGUGUUGGCUGACCCUGUCCAGAUGUCCCCUCCGAGUGAGGGGAACCUUCCCUGCAUUCAUGGUUUUGGAGGUCCAGUUAAGGCUUAGUGGUGGCAUCCAUGGGUACAGAGGCUGGGGGGUCUGUGAAGGUCAGAUGAAAUGCAACAGUGCAGUAGCAGGAUUCCUGGCUGAGCACAGGGAAUGUGUCUGGUCUCUGGGAACUGCAGUCAGUAGCACCGCUGUCACAAAAGGACGGGACUAGUACAUGUUGCCAAUUUCAGGCUCGCCCCCUGGGAAUCUAAAAUGGCAUAGGAAGAAAACUGUAGGGUGGAUGACGAGAGUUGAAAGAAGGAUCUAAAACUAUUUCAAGGAGAAUACAAAUGUGAUUCUUCUAGGCCUUUCCAUAAGAGUUUCCUCCUGGGGAGGAGGAGAUGCAUCACAGGUGCACCUACCAAAGCCUGUUUCUGCACUGACUGCAGAGAAGCAGUGGGGCAAAGCACUCAGACCCCAACCGUAUCAAAUGCUCACGUGUAUAAAAUAAUGCAUCACAGAUGGUGUGAUUUUAAACUGUUACAGGCACUAAGUAGCUGGUAGUUUUAUCUACUGUUACGGAUAAACUGUUGGGACCAAUCAUCCAAAGCCUUUGUCGUAGCCAUAUUACAAGAUGAUUAUUUUCUCUGGGGGUGGUUAUGAGGAUGAAUUAGGCAAUAAUGCAAAUCCCUUUGAAAUGAAUUAAAAAGACAUAGUAUAAUUGUUUCCAUGCCCUUUGGGUGCAAAGGCUAAAAUAAAGAUUCAAGUCUUCCUCCUCUUCUUUCCA